UUUUUCCCUAAGUUGAAAGAGCACACCCAUUACAUAUAAUGUUUAGCAAUAUGAGUUAAGUUUUGUCAUAAUUCAUUAAAGCUGAUUUCAGGGGAAAAAUACAAGCCUUUUUUAAGUCUUAUAUUUAAUAACAAAUAUAACUUCGGAUUGCUAAAGAACAUUCUUGGCAAGAGGAAAUGAAGGAGUUAUGGAAUAGAAGCCCAGUGAUCCAACUGGAGGAAGUUUUGAUUCUAAGAAAGUCUGGGGGUUAGCGGGAGUGCAGGACAACCAAGGGCCUGGGUAGCAACGGUGGGGAUGACGGGAGCUAUGGAACCUGGCUGAACACCGUGUUCUGCUCAGCAAGAAUGUGCUGCUUAAAGAACAUCCAGAGCACUGACCAAAACAGAUGCCAGGUCUAGACGGCAGGAUGAGGUGAAAGUCCAGGAACAGAGGACAACGGCAGGCCCCUCAGGCAGGAGAGAAUAUAAGUCAAAGAUGCAUUUUUAAGAGAACUUGGAGAAAGGGGGUUUUGUAAGAGACGACAGAGAAAUGAAGUUGCCAGGACAUCUCCGCUCCAAGAAUAGCCAGAGGAACUUGGUCUGAACAUGCCCUUAAGAAUGACUAUGCUAGCCAGGCGCAAUGGCUCACACCUGUAAUCCCAGCACUUUGGGAGGACGAGGCGGGCAGAUCACCUGAAGUCAGGAGUUUGAGAGCACCGUGCCCAACAGGGUCUCUACUAAAAAAUACACCAAUUAGCCGGGUGUCGUGACGCACACCUGUAGUCCCAGUUACUCGCGAGGCUGAGGCAGGAGAACUGCUUAAACCCAGGAGGUGGAAGUUGCAGUGAGCUGAGAUUGCACCACUGCACUCCAGCUUGGGCGACAGAGACUCCAUUUCUCCAAAAAAAAAAAAAAAAAAAAAAAAAAAGAGAAUGACUAUGCACUAACGUAAGCCUGCCUAGCUGUAGCGUCCCAGAACAGCUAGCAAAGUUCAGCACUGGUCCACUGUGUUUGCUAUAGUUUGUACUAGGCCUUUUUCCUUAAUCUUUGCUUUUGCUCUGAUCUAAUUCAGACAUGAUCAUCAGUUUAAAAAUAAGUGGAGCUGAAUUUUUGUAGGUUUCUGUUUCUCAAUCUAAUAUCCUGCAUGAGGAGUGGUUCCUUACCUCCUACCCUCCCACCCCUCAAAGAUCUGACCUAAGGUGGGACAUGAAAUCAGAAAAACUAAAAUGUCUGUGACUUUUGAGGAUGGAAAAGAUUGUACUGGGGAUUAAUCCAGAGAAACCUACACAUGAGGCGAAAGUUGCUGGAAAUAAUUUGGAAAGAACUGGGCUUAGUACUCAGGAGAGGAUUUAAAAAUGGUUCAGGUGGCAAGAGAUCUCCUGCAUGUUGUAAUCAUUUUGCAGCGACCAAAUGACUAGGACAUGGGAGAAAAAAAGGGGAGAACCCCCCACCCUGCCCCCACAGUGAAUACAGUUUGAGUCUGUAAUCCUGGACCUGAAAGGCCAGGAGAAGGAGCUACCCAGGCAGCACAGAAGCCUGGAAUGUGUGCCCCCACUCCCGGCAGAAGCCACACUGUGGGGCAGAAACACUCAACCCUUCCACGUGCUAUUCAUGAGCAUCAGGGAAGGGGAAGAAAGAAGAGAUGUAUGUGGACUGGAGCUUUUCCCUUGUUUUUCCAAAUUAAAUAAGCUGCUGCUCUUCCUUCAUUCUCCUGGCUCUUUCCCUACCCCACCGCCGCCAUACCGCGGCCCCUCAUGGUCCUCCCCGCUCUGAGCUCAGGCCCUGGAGGAACUGGAAGUGCUCCUGUCGCUGCUCAGCUGCUGAACUGGUCUUCUGACCAUGCCUCUUUCCUGCAACAACUCUUUGGCAACCCUCCUCCAAAACGUCCCAGUUUCCCUCCCUGCCCCUUGAUCUGGUGCCAGAGGGGACGGUAACAAAACACAAAACAAAAACACAACAAAGAGGCCAUGGAGCCAGUGCCAGCAAGCAAUGAGAGGGAGAAAUGGAGCCCAGUGGAGUUCUUCUCCCUAAAGGAAAAUUAAAAGACAGAUGAUCAGCUAGCUCCCAGAAGUUCUGCCUCGGGCCUAAAUGAAAUAAAUGAAAAGGGUGAGAAAUCCUAAUGAAAUCACCAAUCCAAACAACACAACGACCUGAGGGCGCUAAGGGUCAAGGUUCAGGACAAUUCAAGGAGAAGCAGUCAGGCCUGUGGUUUUACAACCCAAGCCCUGGGCUUGGCCACCAGCACAGGAGAGCAAAGGGCCCGACCAACCCCUUUCCUUCCACAUCUCAGUGAUGAGCGUGGUGUGACUGAGCGCCUACUGCACACCGAUGCCCAUAAGAUGUGGUCUUCAGCAUAGGACUCCUUGAACAGGUAAACCAGGGUACGGCUACACGCUCCGCUGGAGAAUUUCUCACUUUACGAAAGGAGCUGUGUGCUCAGGUUCCUACACCAGUAAGUACAGGGAAUAUGAUUGUGUUUUCAGCUUCAUUUCGACUGACUCUAAACAAUGUAAAUCUAUGAGCUACAAAAUUCCACCUGUCAAAAAUUGCAUUUACAUGCAGUUUUUCAGGAAGGUGUCUGUUCUAUAAAUUGAGGUGUACCAGUGCUAUGUGCUAAGGAGUAAAGAAGAGCAAGAAAAGAAAGCGGGUCCUGACUUCUGCCCGCAGCACUCCCAGGUUAAGGGAGAGGUGCAGGUCUCACGGGACCAGCGCAGCAGUCACCAGACGUGUUAAUGCCUUGUUCUCUCAACCAAUAAGAACGUAACUGUUAAUUGGUAUUUCUAACAAGUACACACACAUCCAGGACUACUGGUGUUUCCUGCUCCACCCUCAUCCCUGCCACCCACUCUUCCACCCCAUCACCCAAGGCAGAUGUGCCAUCUCCUUUCCAACUACAGAAGACGGAACUCAUGAUAAAUCUUCCUGAUGUCACCGACCUAGAGCCUGGGAAAGGAAAAAGACGACAGGGGAAAUGGUCCUGUAUUAACCUCAAUGUAGCCAGCCAAUUGUUCUUCAUCCAGCGUUCGUAAUUUUUAUUUCUAGAGAGCUACCCUGGGAAGGCCUAAGCAGAUGAGCCACACCGUCCAAGCUGUGAGUUCAGCCAGUGUCCAGUCUGGAAGGCAGAGAACAAUGCGUGUGUGAUCCUGAGCUGGGCUGCCUGGGGUGCUGGUGCAGGUUAGCCCUGCAGCCGGCCAGCCUCUGGGCCCCUGCCAGGCUGCCGACCAGCCAGGGGAAGUGAAUGUGCUCAGCGUGAGAGUGCCAGCUGGCUAGGCUUUCUCCCCAGGGGGGAGGCUGUAAGCACAGAUUACCAGUGACUUUGUUCAGUUCUGCUGCCGUGCUCCCCGAGGAGAGGAACAUCACAGCCCAGCAUCAGUACUAAUAGGCCCUGAUGCGCCAGACCCAGGCUAAGAAGGCCAGCGUGGGGGUGGGGGUGCAGCAGAGAGGAGGACAAAAGCCACGCCUCUGAAGCUGUCAACUGGCUCUGAGGCUGACAAGGAAGCACUCUCUGCAGCAAGUUCCAAUCCCUGCCGCAGGAAGGAAUAAUUUCACCACUUUCUCACUAUUUACUGUCCACAGCAAAAAGAAACCCCCACACCUCCACUUAGCACCAUCGUGAGCAUCCCUAGAGUCCAAUAAAUUACAGAAGAG
rnacentral:lncRNA from 1 species